rnacentral:rRNA from 1 species
GAUGAACGCUAGCGGCAGGCCUAAUACAUGCAAGCCGAACGGUAAGAUUGGUAGCAAUACUGAUCUGAGAGUGGCGUACGGGUGCGUAACACGUAUGCAACCUACCCGAAACUGGAGGAUAGCUCAGGGAAACUUGGAUUAACCCUCCAUAAGAUCGUGUACAGGCAUCUGUAUGCGAUAAAAACCGCGAGGUGGUUUCGGAUGGGCAUGCGCAUGAUUAGCUAGUUGGUGGUGUAACGGACUACCAAGGCGAUGAUCAUUAGGGGACCUGAGAGGGUGAUCCCCCCACACUGGCACUGAGAUACGGGCCAGACUCCUACGGGAGGCAGCGGUAGGGAAUAUUGGUCAAUGGGUGCAAGCCUGAACCAGCCAUGCCGCGUGCAGGAAGACGGCCCUUCUGGGUUGUAAACUGCUUUUUGCCAGGGGAUAAAAGACCGAUGCGUCGGGAAUUGAAGGUACCUGGUGAAUAAGCCACGGCUAACUACGUGCCAGCAGCCGCGGUAAUACGUAGGUGGCGAGCGUUGUCCGGAUUUAUUGGGUUUAAAGGGUGCGUAGGCGUCCUGACAAGUUUUAGGUGAAAUGCCCAGGCUUAACCUGGGAGCUGCCUGAAAAAUCUGUUGGGGAUUGAGUACAGACGAGGUAGGCGGAAUUGACGGUGUGCGGUGAAAUGCAUAGAUAUCGUCAGGAACACCGAUAGCGAAGGCAGCUUACUAGACUGUAACUGACGCUGAGGCACGAAAGUGU